UACAAAGGCCUUACCACCAUUGACACGCCCAAUCUCGUCUGAUCUUGGAAGCUAAGCAUGGUCUGGCCUGGUUAGUUCUUGGAUGGGUGACCGCCUGGGAAUACCAGGUGCUGUAA
ensembl:rRNA 5S_rRNA 5S ribosomal RNA